rnacentral:rRNA from 1 species
UACGUAGGGUGCGAGCGUUGUCCGGAAUUAUUGGGCGUAAAGGGCUCGUAGGCGGUUUGUCACGUCGAAAGUGAAAACUCGAGGGCUUAACCCUGAGCCUGCUUCCGAUACGGGCAGACUAGAGGUAUGCAGGGGAGAAUGGAAUUCCUGGUGUAGCGGUGAAAUGCGCAGAUAUCAGGAGGAACACCAGUGGCGAAGGCGGUUCUCUGGGCAUUACCUGACGCUGAGGAGCGAAAGUGUGGGGAGCGAACAGG